rnacentral:rRNA from 1 species
GCCUGCAGCCAUGCUACCUCAGGCUAUAAUCUUGAUCUUGCAAGCUGAAGUAGGGUCAGACCUAAUAUGUACUUGAAUCUGAGACCUCCAAGGAAAAGUUAGGGUGCUGGGGGGA